ensembl:rRNA 5S_rRNA 5S ribosomal RNA
GUCUAUAUCCAUACCACCCUGAAUAUGCUUGUUCUCAUCUGAUCUGGGAAGCUAAGUAAGGUUGGGGCUGAUUGGCACUUGGAUGAGAGUCUGCCUGGGAAUAUCAGGUGCUAUGGCCU